UACGUAGGGUGCAAGCGUUAUCCGGAAUUAUUGGGCGUAAAGAGCUCGUAGGCGGUCUGUCGCGUCUGCUGUGAAAACUCAGGGCUUAACCCUGAGCUUGCAGUGGGUACGGGCAGACUAGAGUGCGGUAGGGGAGACUGGAAUUCCUGGUGUAGCGGUGAAAUGCGUAGAGAUCGGGAGGAACACCCGUGGCGAAGGCGGCUCACUGGGCUGACCUUGACGCUGAGGCGCGAAGGCGUGGGGAGCGAACGGG
rnacentral:rRNA from 1 species